rnacentral:lncRNA from 10 species
CAAAUCUCCAAAUGUGUAGAUUCUAUUCUUAAUGAUUUUUCACAAAGGGCAUGCCUCUUAUGAGUUGGGUGACCUUGGACAAGUUACUAAACCUCCCUGGACCUCUGUUUUUCCUUCUCUGUAAUAUGGUGCUGUCUACCCAUCUUCCUGGGGUGAUGGAAAGCUCAAAUGGGUGGAGAACUGUGAUGGUACUUGGGAAACUGCGCUGGAAUCUGUGCAUCCCUGGGAAGACUUGCUGCCUCCUGAAGAGCACACAGAGGGACAGCUCACAGCUACAGGCUCAUUUGGUUUUGUUUCUUCAGCCAGUGCCUCAGGAUUAAGACCUACAAUACCCAGGAGAGCCCAAACAUGGCAGUAGCCAAGAGCAUCCAGUCUCCACUGUGUACCAUCUCUUAGCAAGCAUGUCAUUCAGCCUGACACCGGGAUGUUUCCAGCAAAUCUCUUCCCGAAGACUCUCAUCAGAGGCCAAGUGGUUGCAGCAGAUUCGUCUCUGUUUCCAAGCUACAACAGGCCAAAUAAGACUGGAUUGGAUCAGAGAAGAUGGGUCCUCCCAUCUCUUUCAUGAGCUGGGCCCCUGGCAUUAAUUGGACAAUGCAGAUCGUUUAUUAUACUUCUUUAAUAGAACUGAUGGGCAAAUAUGUAUAUUUGGAAAAUUGGUGUUUUGACAGUAAUGGUAGGUUCUUAAGAAGAAUGAAGGGAGUGGUUGGAACCCAAUGGAAUAGUACUGAACCGUGUUUUUGUGGAGUUUGAAUGCUUUGGGAGACGGCUGAUGUGUUAUUAGUAAAAGGCUGGCCAGUUCUUCACUGACAGGAACGAGUAGUGAGCCUCAGUUGAAGGGGAUACAAGAGAAACAAUAAUAGCCACCAUUUAUUGAGCAUCUACUAGAUACAAGCACUCUACAUACAUGAUUUUUAUUCCUUAGCCCCUUCCCCUGGGUGAGAUAAGCCUUGUUAUUAUCCCCACUUUGCAGGUGAGGCAACUGAGGCCCAGCGGUUAAGUGCCUUAUCCAAGAUCAUGCAGCUAGCGGGAGUAGCAUUAGGACUGAAGGCCGUCUGCCUCCAAAGCAGGGCCUCACUCAAUACAUGUUCAUUUCUAUUCCCUGUUUUUGGGGUCUAGGCUCCUUUGGCUAAAAUGUGCCAGAAGCAUGGGGUAGAGAGAUCUGAGGGUCUUUUUCUUUGAGGUGG